rnacentral:rRNA from 1 species
AUUGAACGCUGGCGGCAGGCUUAACACAUGCAAGUCGAACGAGUGGCGGACGGGUGAGUAAUGCUUGGGAAUCUAGCUUAUGGAGGGGGAUAACUACGGGAAACUGUAGCUAAUACCGCGUACCAUAGGAUGAGCCCAAGAGGGAUUAGGUAGUUGGUGAGGUAAAGGCUCACCAAGCAGACGAUCUCAAGCUGGUCUGAGAGGAUGACCAGCCACACUGGGACUGAGCCACGUCCCAGACUCCUCCGUGUGUCAGCAGUGAGGACUAUUGCGCAAUGAGGGCAACCUGACGCAGCCGUGCCGCGUGAAUGAAGAAGGCCUUCGGGUUGUCAAGUGCUUUCGGUAGCGAGGCGUAGACUACAGAAGAAGCAACGGCUAACUCCGUGCCAGCGACCGCGGUAAUGG